GAUGAAGAACGCAGCGAAAUGCGAUAAGUAAUGUGAAUUGCAGAAUUCAGUGAAUCAUCGAAUCUUUGAACGCACAUUGCGCCCGCCAGUAUUCUGGCGAGCAUGCCUGUACGAGCGUCAUUUCAACCAUCAAGCCCCAGGCUUGUGUUGGAGCCCUGCGGCUGCCGCAGCCUCCCAAAACCAGUGGCGGGCUCGCUAUCACACCGAGUGCAGUAGUUUACUCUUCGCUCAGGGCGUGUGGCGGGUGCUAGCCGUGAAACCCCCAACUUCUCAAGGUUGACCUCGGAUCAGGUAGGAAUACCCGCUGAACUUAAGCAUAUCAAUAAGCGGAGGA
rnacentral:misc_RNA from 1 species